rnacentral:lncRNA from 1 species
GCACCGCUGAGAUCCUAUGCCAACUGGGGCUGGCACUAUCCAUGUGUGUGGAAGGAGAGGAGGGAUGGGCCAGGCAGUGCUGAGUGACCGGGACGGAGCCAGCUGUGUGUGACCCUGCAGCCCUGUUGCUCUCUGAGGAGGCAUGACAUCCUGUUCCUCUUCCGGGCCUGGACUCCUCCUUGCCCCUCAGACACUGCCCAGCCAGGAGGGCAACCCCGACAGCUACACCUGAGGUUCCCACUCCACCAUCCUCGUCCUGGUAUUGGAGACAGCUAAGUCAAAUAGACAUCUUGCAAGCGGUUAGACAGGGCCGGCCCUGGAGGAGUCAAUACGAAAGAAAAACAACCAAGACACAUUCACCAAGGUCAGCAUUAUAAAAAAAGAA